UACGGAGGGUGCAAGCAUUGAUCGGAAUUACUGGGCGUAAAGGGCGCGUAGGCGGCAUGGAAAGUCGGAUGUGAAAUUCCGGGGCUCAACCCCGGAGCUGCAUAUGAAACUUCCAAGCUAGAGUACAGUUAGGGAAAACAGAAUUCCACGUGUAGCGGUGAAAUGCGUAGAUAUGUGGAAGAAUACCGGUGGUGAAGACGGUUUUCUGGGCUGUAACUGACGCUGAGGCGCGAAAGCAUGGGGAGCAAACAGG
rnacentral:rRNA from 1 species